rnacentral:lncRNA from 1 species
GUUUUUCUCAGAAUACACUUGUUUCUUGAAACUGAAACUUUUUUUUUUCCAAGACAGUACGUAGCUGUUUAAGGAGGCAAAGAUUUCUGAUCAGUAAGCAAUAGAUGCACUGACCCACUAUUCAUCAUUAGGAGAUUUAAAUCCAUGAGCUGAGCCUGGGGACAGAUCAACAUUUGAUGUGCCUUUAUUUCAUGAGGUCGGAUAGAAAAAGGACUCUGUGCACAGUAUCUGAGAAAAGCAAAAUGUGUACUUUUCAGAAGUUCAGACAUAUAUAUGAGUAGUUGACAUGAAUUUCAUAAAGGUCAGACUAUUGAGAAUUUCACAUCCCCAGAAGUGCCUUAAUCUAUAGCUUCAAAAUAGAUGUAUUUGAGGCUUUAUUGCUGUUAUCAUGGAAGCCAGAAGUGAACCUGUUCAACCCUAAGAAAGGAAACAGUUCAACCACACUCCUUAAAAGAGAAAUCCUGUGCAUGAGAACAAAGAUCUACAGGAAGGGCUGUUCUUUCAGGUUCCCAUCAUGGAAGUGA